UACGUAGGGUGCGAGCGUUAAUCGGAAUUACUGGGCGUAAAGCGUGCGCAGGCGGUUUUGUAAGCCAGAUGUGAAAUCCCCGGGCUUAACCUGGGAAUGGCAUUUGGGACUGCAAGGCUUGAGUGCGGCAGUGGAGACUGGAAUUCCUGGUGUAGCAGUGAAAUGCGUAGAUAUCAGGAGGAACACCGAUGGCGAAGGCAGGUCUCUGGGCUGACACUGACGCUCAUGCACGAAAGCGUGGGGAGCAAACAGG
rnacentral:rRNA from 1 species